rnacentral:rRNA from 1 species
UGGGGAAUUUUGGACAAUGGGCGAAAGCCUGAUCCAGCAAUGCCGCGUGUGUGGAGAAGGCCUUCGGGUUGUAAAGCACUUUUGUCCGGAAAGAAAUCCUUGGCUCUAAUACAGUCGGGGGAUGACGGUACCGGAAGAAUAAGCACCGGCUAACUACGUGCCAGCAGCCGCGGUAAUACGUAGGGUGCAAGCGUUAAUCGGAAUUACUGGGCGUAAAGCGUGCGCAGGCGGUUUGCUAAGACCGAUGUGAAAUCCCCGGGCUCAACCUGGGAACUGCAUUGGUGACUGGCAGGCUAGAGUAUGGCAGAGGGGGGUAGAAUUCCACGUGUAGCAGUGAAAUGCGUAGAGAUGUGGAGGAAUACCGAUGGCGAAGGCAGCCCCCUGGGCCAAUACUGACGCUCAUGCACGAAAGCGUGGGGAGCAAACAGGAUUAGAUACCCUGGUAGUCCACGCCCUAAACGAUGUCAACUAGUUGUUGGGGAUUCAUUUCCUUAGUAACGUAGCUAACGCGUGAAGUUGACCGCCUGGGGAGUACGGUCGCAAGAUUAAAACUUAAAGGAAUUGACGGGGUCAUA